rnacentral:piRNA from 1 species
UGCCAGCUAUUUAGGGAUAUGAAGAGGCA